rnacentral:lncRNA from 1 species
AUGCAGAGCUUGGAGCAGAGUUGUGGGGUGACUUGCCACAGAGCCUGUGCUGGAUUUGCUCUGCUUUCUGAUGUGGAGGCACAGCAGGAGCCUCAGCUGCAGGGGACAUGGCCACCUGAGGUGUCCUGGGAAAGGGAAAUCCACUUGCACCAGGUGGGAGCCUGCCCCUUUGCUUUGAACUUCAUCUGCUGGUGUCUGGUGAGGCUCCUGUUUGUGGGAACACUGUCCCUUGGAGCAGGCUUCUUCUGCUGCAGCAGCUGCUGCCCACCACAUCUCUAUGGUCACCUCAGAUUAAUAUUUUUCCACUUAUCACAUAGGUGGAGCUGUUGUCUCUGGUACGUGGAAUUCUGCAUUUCUGGGGAAUGGCAAGAGGCAGAAGGUGUCACUCUGCCUCUGAGGGGGCAGUGGCAGUGUGCUCUUGCUCUCAGGCUUUAA